rnacentral:lncRNA from 1 species
GUCACGAGCUUGGCUGUGGUUGUAAGAUGCGCACUCUUUGCUUUCACAUUCCUGGCUGAGGUUCAAAUUUAGAGAGGUGGCAGGUUGAAGCUCUGUGUAGCUAUCAGCAUCUUUGUGGGCAUCUGAGAUGGCACGGAGCCCUCACAUGGCAGCAAGUCAGACAUGAUCCCUCCUUUUCACACGUAGGGCUCUAGUCAAAUGCUGACAAGGCCAGCUUUGGGCAGAGCAAGAGCCUGUGUCAGGGGAGUGGCUUGACUUCCACCUAGUGGCAAUUGCAAAUGGAUCAGCCUCUUUUUUCAAGUUAGGAACAUUGAAGGCUAAUAGAUUUUCCAAAUAUGCAACUCAGGGCCUUCCUGAUAACUUUCCUUAAAGAUAGGCCAGUUCUGUCAGAUAUGGAGAACAAACAAAGUACACCUUGCUGUGUGCACCUCCAGAGAGAAAUUAAUUCUCCCUUUUAUUUCCACAAAAUUCCUCUUUUAAAAAACAUCCUUAUUUCUCUCUAGCUUCUGCAUGAGAUAAAACAUUUAACCUUUGACUUUAAGUCAGCUUAUUUGACUUAGCAUGAUGUUUUGCAGUUCCAUCCAUUUAUCAGCAAAUGCCAUAAUUUCAUUCAUUUUUAUGGCUGAAUACAACUUCAUUGUGUUUAUAUAUAAUAUUUUCUUUAUCCAUUCAUCUAUUGAGGGACACCUAGGGUGGUUCCAUAACUUUGCUAUUGUGAAUUGUGCUCCUAUAAACAUUGGUAUGCAUGUAUCACUACAGUAUGCUGAUUUUAGUUCUUUUGGAUAAAUACCAAUAAGUGGAAUAGCUGGGUCAUAAGGCGGUUCC